CAGUAGCCGCGGGAAUACGAAGGGGGCUAGCGUUGUUCGGAUUACUGGGCGUAAAGCGCACGUAGGCGGAUCGAUCAGUCAGGGGUGAAAUCCUGGAGCUCAACUCCAGAACUGCCUUUGAUACUGUCGAUCUCGAGUCCGGAGGAGGUGAGUGGAACUCCUAGUGUAGAGGUGGAAUUCGUAGAUAUUAGGAAGAACACCAGUGGCGAAGGCGGCUCACUGGUCCGGUACUGACGCUGAGGUGCGAAAGCGUGGGGAGCAAACAGGAUUAGAUACCCCUGUAGUCCCUGUCUCUUAUACA
rnacentral:rRNA from 1 species